rnacentral:rRNA from 1 species
GAUGAACGCUGGCGGCGUGCCUAAUACAUGCAAGUCGAGCGAACAGACGAGGAGCUUGCUCCUCUGACGUUAGCGGCGGACGGGUGAGUAACACGUGGAUAACCUACCUAUAAGACUGGGAUAACUUCGGGAAACCGGAGCUAAUACCGGAUAAUAUAUUGAACCGCAUGGUUCAAUAGUGAAAGACGGUUUUGCUGUCACUUAUAGAUGGAUCCGCGCCGCAUUAGCUAGUUGGUAAGGUAACGGCUUACCAAGGCAACGAUGCGUAGCCGACCUGAGAGGGUGAUCGGCCACACUGGAACUGAGACACGGUCCAGACUCCUACGGGAGGCAGCAGUAGGGAAUCUUCCGCAAUGGGCGAAAGCCUGACGGAGCAACGCCGCGUGAGUGGUGAAGGUCUUCGGAUCGUAAAACUCUGUUAUUAGGGAAGAACAAAUGUGUAAGUAACUAUGCACGUCUUGACGGUAUCUAAUCAGAAAGCCACGGCUAACUACGUG